rnacentral:rRNA from 1 species
CGGACGGGUGAGUAACGCGUAAGAACUUGCCCUUUAGACUGGGAUAACAGAGGGAAACUUCUGAUAAUACUGGAUAAGUUAGUAUAUCGCAUGAUAUGCAAAUGAAAGCUACGGCACUAAAGGAGAGCUUUGCGUCCUAUUAGCUAGUUGGUAAGGUAAGAGCUUACCAAGGCGAUGAUAGGUAGCCGGCCUGAGAGGGUGGACGGCCACAAGGGGACUGAGAUACGGCCCUUACUCCUACGGGAGGCAGCAGC